CCUACGGGUGGCAGCAGUGGGGAAUAUUGCACAAUGGGGGAAACCCUGAUGCAGCGACGCCGCGUGAGUGAAGAAGUCCUUCGUUAUGUAAAGCUCUAUCAGCAGGGAAGAAAAUGACGGUACCUGAGCAAGCCGCCCCGGCUAACUACGGGCCAGCAGCCGCGGUAAUACGUCGGGGGCAGGCGUUAUCCGGAGUUACUGGGGGGAAAGGGGGCGUUGACGGCGGUGCAAGGCCGGAGUGAAGAGCGGGGGCUCAACCCCCGGACUGCUCUGGAAACCGUACGGCUGGAGUGGGGGAGAGGUAAGUGGAAUUCGUGGUGUAGCGGUGAAAUGCGUAGAUAUUAGGCGGAACCCCAGUGGCGAAGGCGGCUUACUGGAGUGUAACUGACGUUGAGGCACGAAAGCGUGGGGAGCAAACAGGAUUAGAUACCCUUGUAGUC
rnacentral:rRNA from 1 species